CUAUAAUCCUCCAGUGUUUGAAGUAUUUCAAAUAAAGCUUCCGUUGGUCUUACCUGCCGCAUGCUAUCGAGAGGAAAAUAAGACAACAAUCCACAUUUUAUUGGUCUUUCACAGAGGAAUUCGUCAUGUACCUACUUUGAUCUGAGAUGGAUCUCACCGACUAGAUAGAGGAGCUAGCUAGGCUCACUUAUUUGCACCAUCAGUCAGGCUUCAUAUGUCCGGUUGUCGAGGACGACUAAUCCUCCUGUCAUCGCAUCAAUC